UAUUUUUCAGAGCCCUCCCUUAAGGGAAAGGAAGAAGAAAGAGGGAGUGAGAGAAAGGGACCCACUGUUGAAGACGAGCACCGCACAAAGACCACACAAAAAACAGCCUGGAGAGGAGAAAAUAACAAGUGCUGUUAUUCCUGAGGCUUUACUUUUACUCCGUGUUUUCUAUAUUUUGGUUGUUUUAAGAACCGAUAACUGUCCUGUAGUUUAUGUUUGGGCGCUUGCAGCUGCAGUAGAGGUUUUGGUCAGGACUGGCUGUGUGAACGCUGAGCUGAUGCUUCCCAGCUGUGGUUUGUUGAGCGCCCUUCUGCUGGCGGGUCAGUCUGGAGCGUGCCUCCCCACUGCUCCUGCACAGGCACCUCUGUGGACUGCCAUGGACUCGCCUUCAAAAACAUGCCACGAAAUAUACCAAAAAACACAGAAUGACUGGACUUGAAUUUAAACAACCUCACACAUAUUGGCAAGGAUGACUUCACUGGCCUGAAGCACCUCCGAAUUUUGCAGCUCAUGGAUAACCAGAUCAUCACUAUUGACAGAGGAGCCUUCAAUGAUCUGAAGGAGCUGGACAGA